AGUUCAAGGAGGAGUUGCUGAA
rnacentral:siRNA from 1 species